CAGUUCUUAAUGCUAACCUAUAUUAUAUCUGGGGCGUCAGAGUCUAUUGAUUAAAGGUAAAAACAUGGUCCCCAUGUUUUAUGUGGGAUAAAAACAAUUCCACAGCUGGAUUUUAAUGACUUUUAGGUAACAAGGGUGGAUAAGGAAGCAAGGAGCACGCACUGGUUAGGCGUGUUAAGGUUACGCUGAUAGCUUCACUGGCUACUAACAUUCUAGAGCAAGUGAACUAUGGAUUCUAGGCUCUCAUUUGCUGAUUUGUGGCUUUUAGAAUGGGUGAAGUUUAACAGCUGAGGCUAGGUGAAGUGUUCAGGGGAGAUUUAUAGGCCGUGUCGGAAUAGUGCAGGCUGCACUCGAGAUGUCCGGAGGACUUUGAGCUUUGACAGAGAUGGCAGGUGCCUAAGACAACAUUCUCCACAGGUUGUUUCAAUAAGGUCAAAGCUCUGGGGAAAUUGGUGGGUACCAUUGCCGCAAGGAAGAGGCAUGGCUGGGUAUCAAGGCUUUGGGUGAACGGGUGGGGUAGCAUAAAGUCAAAGGUCAGCCCUGGCCUGAUCAUUUGAUGUCCUCCUCCACCCUUGUGCUAUUAUUUGAUCUGCUGUACAUAGCCACCAACAUUUGCAAUCUGAAUUUGAAUUUUAAGUAUGAUAGGAUUUACAUCAUAUAAACAACGUCAUUUUAAAGAUACAGUUCACUGUUCUUUGCUCUGCAUCCCUCACCAGCCCGAUCUCCACACCACUUUUCAUCUGGUAAAAAAGGAAACUCUAUACUCAUGAAGUAAUAACUGCCUAUCCUUCCUCCUCCUAGCUCUGACAGAUGGAAGCAACCAAGCAAUCAACAACAACAGAACACAUCUGUGCCAACACAAAUGUAGAUUUCCCCUCCCCAUAUUGACACGUUGAUGGGAAGCCCGGAGUUACACACUCGCACAGCCAGCUGAUUAGAUGGCUGCACCGUUUUUUAUAAAGAAUUAAAGACACAGAAGAGAAGCCUAUCAAACAGAUUGAUUCCUCGAAGGCAAGAAUUAAAACUUCUCAUAACAAACGUGUCAGACAAAUGUAGUUCAUUGGUUUGGAUCACCUCUAAAAGGAAAAAAAAAAAGUCCUUACCCUACUUUUAAAAACCCAGAAAUCAGUUGUUCCAGUUUAGCGACGCAGGCAAAGGACGUGGGGGCGGGGAAUGUGUCAGGCUCCGGACACACUGCAUUCUGGGAAAUAGCUGUUUCUUUACAUCAAUAAGCACAGGACCACAAGCAUCAGUCUGAGAUUAGAAUAACUGGUGUCCUUUUGUAGAGAUGGGGAUGUUUAACAGCUUUAAUUACAUUUCAGGGAAAUCAUUAAAAUGAUUUGUGUUUGCUCAUGAGAAGAGGCAGAAAUGAAUUCCACUGUGCAAAGGGGAAAAUCCAUAUCUCAUUUAGUGAGUUAUUGCUUUCUAGUGUCUUGUUCUUUCUGUGUAAAAAUAGUUGACAGAGAGACAAGACAUUCUGGAGGGCCUCCAGCUGUUCGACAGCACAGGCCAAGGAAGUGUGGUCAGAGAGUUACCAAGGGAUGGCAGAUUUAGAGCCUGUCUGGACUCGUAUAAUUCAUGUUCUUCAUUCAUUCUCUCCAGUUUCUGCUGCUCUGGCCUCAGGGAACUAAUAGAGGAUCUUGGAGGGGUUGCAUUUUCAUUUGAAGAGCUUUCAAACAGAAGAUGUAUCAUACUGUUUCCAUAGCAAGAACUUCAAACUACAGUAUGCCUAGAAGUCACCCGGACCCUUCCCAACAUCAUGCAGAGGUUCUGAGUCGCCAUGUCUGGGUGAAUUUUAGCAGGCACCCUGGUGCUUUGGGACACUAUCUUAAAGCCACAUACACACACAAAUACAUUCUAAAAACCAUUCAUUGUUCUUCCACUCAGAGAUAAUCAGCACUGACUUGGUGCAGUUCAGUGCAGUGUUACAUGUCUUCAUGGACUUAACAUUUCAUGCUUGAAUUUAUAAAUAUACGAAAGACAUAGAAUGUACAGAAACAUGUGAGCCAGUGACUUGUGGCUAUAGACUAAGUUCAUAGGAGCUAAGGUACUGCCAAGUGAGAACGUCGUUAUUGAGGGUCGGUGUGGAGCGGGAAGAACACUACAGGCCGUCUCCAUUCAGGUCCAGCGAGUGUGGACUGGUGCUCAGGAGACAGAAGACAGCUCAGAGGAAGUUAGGAUCACAGGGGCUCUGACAGCUACAGGAGAGGAAGAACAGACCCCAAUGGCCUACAGCACAGUGGGGCUGGGACUCAAGAGUGGUAAAAGAGAAUCCUACUCUUCUGAGCAUUGUGCCUUUGAGUCGAUUCUGCACACAACUUCAAUUCUGAAAAAAACAACAAAAAGCUGCAGCUGAAAGAAGCUCCUUUGGAAUGUAAAUGAGUGUAUACCUUGUUACCAUAGCAGGACUUUGCAGGGGAAGAAGAGAAUUUCCACAAUGAUGCGAUUAAAAUAAAAUAAUGCACUACUGAAAGAGAGAGUGGAGUGAGGGAGGAGGGCUCUAAUUUUUCUGAGAUGGGGUCUUGCUAAAUGAUACUGGCUGGCCUGGAACUUGCUGUCAUCUAGACCAAACCAGCCUCAAACUUGAGAUAAUCAUCCUGCUUCUGCCUCCUGAGAGCUAGGAUUAUGGGCACGGGACCCUUUUUCCUGGAGAAAAGGGGACAGAUUAAGGAGUUAGAGCUAGUAAAAUCCUGUGAUAGUAACAGUGUCAGUAAUAUCUCACACCACCAAAGACCAGUCCGACGUCAGCUAUGACAAGGAAGACCUGCUGCUGUCAUCUACUGCUGUGACAUAGGUACAGGAUGAGGAAGAUGGAGGGGAUACAUGUUUUUCUUGUAGCCCUUGAAGGGGGCCUAGACAUCUGUCAUCAGAGCAGUCCUUGGAAGCUGGCCUUUUGGAAAGCUAUAGCUUCAUUGGAAGUCCUAGGAGCUGAGGAAAGGUCAGAGUCCAGACUUCAGAUGGAUAGGGUUAGUAUUCAAAUCCUUCCUCAUCUAGAUCUGGGAUCCACUCAGCAUCAACAAGGGAGGUGCCAGGAUCCUAUGUUCAUUGAUAUAAUUAUCCACCCAGAAGUACACACUUAUAAUCUCAGUACUUGAGAGGCUAGUGCAGGAGGACUGCCAUGAGUUGAAGGCCAGCCUGGGCUACAGAGCGAGACCUUGUCUCAAUAACAACAACAACAACAACAACAACAACAACAACAACAACAACAAACGACAACAUCAAAGCAAUAACUGGAGGAAAGAAAGGCUUCCUCUUGUGUCAUUUCCUUUCCUCUUUGGUCGGAGUUCCCAUUUCUUCUCUAACUCUGCAUCUACCCCUCCCUGAAAGUGACUGAACUCAGAAGACCAUUCGGCCCUCCAGUCCCUGCUUGCUCAUAGCCUUCUCUCUCCCAGUUCUUAUUGGAGUAAGAGCAUACUGAAUCUCAAAACUAUGUUGGGGGGCUGGAGAGGUGGCUCAGAGGUUAAGAGCACUGCUUGCUCUUCCAAAGGUCCUGAGUUCAAUUCCCAGCAACCGCAUGGUGGCUUACAACCAUCUGUAAUGAGAUCUGGUGCCCUCUUCUGGCCUGCAGGGAUACGUGCAGACAGAACACUAUACAUAAUAAAUAAAUAAAUCUUUAAAAAAACCCCACUAUGUUGGGCAAGCUGCUUU